GGGUCUUAGAAUCCCCCGUGAGUGCCGUGUGAAUAGCGCUUAUCUUUGGCCGGAUGACGUGGUUCGUGAAUC
rnacentral:ncRNA from 1 species